AUGAUCGACUUUCUCCUCUUCUGUUGUCUGGCAGGUGUUAGUCUGGGUCUUGAUGUGCGUCAGUCUCCCUCUGAGCUCAUCAAAUCUCCUGGAGACAAAGUGCAGAUCUCCUGCAGCCACGAUAGAAUGGACUACAGGGUGAUGCUCUGGUACCAGCGCUCACCUGGAGACACAGCUCUGAAACUCAUCGGGUAUUUGUAUUAUAAAGAUGCCACAAUGGAGGAGCCAUUUAAAGAACAUUUCAAUAUCUCUGGAGAUUUGCGUGGAGAUUCGGUAAAGAAUGGCUCUCUUACAGUCCGAAAGACUGGAGUUGAGCACAGUGCUGUUUACUUCUGUGCAGCCAGCCAAGCACAGUGA